rnacentral:rRNA from 1 species
UACGUAGGUGGCAAGCGUUGUCCGGAAUUACUGGGUGUAAAGGGAGCGCAGGCGGGAAGCCAAGUCAGCUGUGAAAACUACGGGCUUAACCUGUAGACUGCAGUUGAAACUGGUUUUCUUGAGUGAAGUAGAGGUUGGCGGAAUUCCGAGUGUAGCGGUGAAAUGCGUAGAUAUUCGGAGGAACACCGGUGGCGAAGGCGGCCAACUGGGCUUUAACUGACGCUGAGGCUCGAAAGUGUGGGGAGCAAACAGG